UAAGCAUAUCAAUAAGCGGAGGAAAAGAAACCAACAGGGAUUGCCCCAGUAACGGCGAGUGAAGCGGCAAGAGCUCAAAUUUGAAAGCUGGCUCCUUCGGGGUCCGCAUUGUAAUUUGCAGAGGAUGCUUCGGGAGCGGUCCCCAUCUAAGUUCCCUGGAACGGGACGUCAUAGAGGGUGAAAAUCCCGUAUGGGAUGGGGUGUCCGCGCCCGUGUGAAGCUCCUUCGACGAGUCGAGUUGUUUGGGAAUGCAGCUCUAAAUGGGUGGUAAAUUUCAUCUAAAGCUAAAUAUUGGCCGGAGACCGAUAGCGCACAAGUAGAGUGAUCGAAAGAUGAAAAGCACUUUGAAAAGAGAGUUAAAAAGCACGUGAAAUUGUUGAAAGGGAAGCGCUUGCGACCAGACUCGCUCGCGGGGUUCAGCCGGCAUUCGUGCCGGUGUACUUCCCCGCGGGCGGGCCAACGUCGGUUUGGGCGGUCGGUCAAAGGCCCUCGGAAGGUAACGCCCCCAGGGGCGUCUUAUAGCCGAGGGUGCAAUGCGACCUGCCUAGACCGAGGAACGCGCUUCGGCUCGGACGUUGGCAUAAUGGUCGUAAGCGACCCGUCUUGAAACACGGACCAAGGAGUCUAACAUCUACGCGAGUGUUCGGGUGUCAAACCCGUGCGCGCAGUGAAAGCGAACGGAGGUGGGAACCCUUUGGGUGCACCAUCGACCGAUCCUGAUGUCUUCGGAUGGAUUUGAGUAAGAGCGUAGCUGUUGGGACCCGAAAGAUGGUGAACUAUGCCUGAAUAGGGCGAAGCCAGAGGAAACUCUGGUGGAGGCUCGUAGCGGUUCUGACGUGCAAAUCGAUCGUCGAAUUUGGGUAUAGGGGGGGAAAGACUAAUCGAACCAUCUGGUAGCUGGUUCCUGCCGA
rnacentral:rRNA from 1 species